CCUACGGGAGUCAGCAGUGAGGAAUAUUGGUCAAUGGACGAGAGUCUGAACCAGCCAAGUAGCGUGAAGGAUGACUGCCCUAUGGGUUGUAAACUUCUUUUAUAUGGGAAUAAAAUGUUCCACGUGUGGGAUUUUGUAUGUACCAUAUGAAUAAGGAUCGGCUAACUCCGUGCCAGCAGCCGCGGUAAUACGGAGGAUCCGAGCGUUAUCCGAGUUUAUUGGGUUUAAAGGGAGCGUAGGUGGAUUGUUAAGUCAGUUGUGAAAGUUUGCGGCUCAACCGUAAAAUUGCAGUUGAAACUGGCAGUCUUGAGUACAGUAGAGGUGGGCGGAAUUCGUGGUGUAGCGGUGAAAUGCUUAGAUAUCACGAAGAACUCCGAUUGCGAAGGCAGUUCACUGGACUGCAACUGACACUGAGGCUCGAAAGUGUGGGUAUCAAACAGGAUUAGAUACCCCUGUAGUC
rnacentral:rRNA from 1 species